rnacentral:lncRNA from 1 species
GUUCAAAUUUCUUUUUUGAAGAAUAGAGUGAUGGUCAUCAGAAUUAGCUGAGGCAGAAGAGGAGGCAAAAUGGUAAUCUGGAAGGUAACCCUUCUGAGGAAAUUAGCAGCUUUGACAAUGGAAAGUACUGUUUCAUCUGUCUUCCCUAUGAGAAGGUAAUCUGUUUGAAUAGAAGAAACAUUGGAAUAGGGCUCCAUUUCUAAACAGAUUUAGGUCUACAGAAGUUAUAUCACCCCUGAAAUCCUUGGGAUGCUGU